rnacentral:lncRNA from 1 species
GUAGGAUGGACAUGAAAUUUGCUUUGUUGGGGACGAAGCUUUCCGAGAGCUCUCUAAGAUGGAUCCAAAAGGAAGCAAAUUGUUGGAUGAUGCAAUGGCAGCAGACAAAAGUGACGAGUGGUUUGCUACAAGAAAUAAACCAAAGGCUUCGGGUUAAUGGAAGACGGGUUAAUGACGAAUGGCACUUACAACUCCGGUCUAGUCUGUUAUCAGGAUGGCAUUUAUCUGCUUUGAUAAAUGCUCCCCCGACUUGGUUGUGUCUUGCAUAGGAGGUCUGUGUGGUAGUUUCAUUCUUCAAGGCUCUGUUUUGUUUUAAAAAAGAAAUAUUUUUAUCACUCUUGGGAGAGGCAAAUUUCUACUGUGUGUAAUUGAAUUAAAUUUGGUAACAAAUUUUUUGUCCAGACUGAAACAACUGAAUGGAACAUUACUCUUGGUUGGGUCUGGAGAAAAUUUGAUUACCUGUUAAUCAUGUAGAUAAUAUUGAAAUAAGUAUCAAAAUGAAGCCAAAUCAGCUAUGCAUGGGGGCACACUCCUCUAAUCCUAGAACUUGGAAUGCAGAGAUAGGAAGAUCUCCGAGUUGGAGGCCAGCCAGGACUAUAGAGACCUUACCUCAAACAUAACAAAACAAAAUAAAACAAAAGCCAAAUCU